CCCAAUGGGAGUGAGAGCCGGGGCCGCGUCAGCAGUAUCCGGGAAGAAGGAGCUGACGCGGGCUGGGACCGGGAGAAGUGAACCUCGGGACACGGGGAGGCCCCAGCGCCGAGCUUCCCCGCCCCGGACCCCGCCCUCGGACGGACCCUGCGAGCCACGCCCGGGCCCUGCGACAGUGCCCUGACCCCUCGUCCUGCAGAGGGCUCUUUGUCACACUGUCUCCCUAAGCCGUCUGAGGAAGCCAGGCUGGCCCAGCCCCUGCCUUCACUUCCCGCCCUGGAAUCCCGCUCCCUGGACUGGACUCCCUGCCUCCCACUCCUUUCCUCUCCCCCGACUCUUCUAGAAGAACUCACCCCAGGGAACUUGAUGCCGGGUGCGCUCGCCCCGGGACAGGAGGUGUGGAGACGGGGCUUCUCUGUAAACCUGCAGACGCCCCGAGUCUGUGCGUGAGUCCAGGACGUCGCCUCAUACCCAGAAGCACAAUUCGUUCCUGUCUAUUUCAACCAGGAGUUCUAGGACUUUAAUCCCUUCAACGCCGCACGUGCUCAGUCAGACUGUCCCUGACCCGCGCUCCGCCUUGCCCGUUUGUAUGAAUUAUUCACAUCUGAGCUGUGUGUAUAUUUUGGGGGGACACUUGGUAUUUUUUUUAACCCGAUUAACUUUUAGGAGGCAAUUAGUUUUUAGGCAGCCUCACAAAUAUAUUAAUUACCAAAUGCAAAGAACACCCUGCUAGGCUUGUGAAUAUGCAUAUUAAAAAUCUAUAAAAUGCUGA